rnacentral:rRNA from 1 species
UGGGGAAUAUUGGACAAUGGGCGCAAGCCUGAUCCAGCCAUGCCGCGUGAGUGAUGAAGGCCCUAGGGUUGUAAAGCUCUUUCACCGGUGAAGAUAAUGACGGUAACCGGAGAAGAAGCCCCGGCUAACUUCGUGCCAGCAGCCGCGGUAAUACGAAGGGGGCUAGCGUUGUUCGGAUUUACUGGGCGUAAAGCGCACGUAGGCGGACUUUUAAGUCAGGGGUGAAAUCCCGGGGCUCAACCCCGGAACUGCCUUUGAUACUGGAAGUCUUGAGUAUGGUAGACGUGAGUGGAAUUCCGGGUGUAGAGGUGAAAUUCGUAGAUAUUCGGAGGAACACCAGUGGCGAAGGCGGCUCACUGGACCAUUACUGACGCUGAGGUGCGAAAGCGUGGGGAGCAAACAGG